UACGUAGGUGGCGAGCGUUGUCCGGAUUUACUGGGCGUAAAGAGCGCGCAGGCGGUCGUUCAAGUCGCGUGUGAAAGCCCCCGGCUCAACUGGGGAGGGUCACGCGAUACUGAUCGACUCGAAGGCAGGAGAGGGAAGUGGAAUUCCCGGUGUAGUGGUGAAAUGCGUAGAUAUCGGGAGGAACAUCAGUUGCGAAGGCGGCUCUCUGGACCAGCACUGACACUGAGGCACGAAAGCGUGGGGAGCAAACAGG
rnacentral:rRNA from 1 species